CCUACGGGUGGCAGCAGUGAGGAAUAUUGGGCAAUGGAGGCAACUCUGACCCAGCAACGCCGCGUGAGCGAUGACGGUCUUCGGAUUGUAAAACUCUGUCGCAGGGGACGAAGUAUGACGGUACCCUGUAAGAAAGCCCCGGCAAACUACGUGCCAGCAGCCUCGGUAAUACGUAGGGGGCUCGCGUUGCCCGGCAUUACUGGGCGUAAAGGGAGUGUAGACGGCUUGUCAAGUUCAGAGUGAAAGCCUGCGGCUUAACCGCAGAAGUGAACUUAAAACUGACUCGCUAGAGUGCAGGAGAGGUGAGUGGAAUUCGUAGUGUAGCGGUGGAAUGCGUAGAUAUUAGGCGGAACACCAGAGGCGAAGGCGGCACACUGGACUGUAACUGACGUUGAGGCUCGAAAGCGUGGGGAGCAAACAGGAUUAGAUACCCGAGUAGUC
rnacentral:rRNA from 1 species